rnacentral:lncRNA from 1 species
AUGAUUGGACAAGGAGUAUUGUGCAUGGCAAAUGCCCCACUACUCAUGGUCUUAGGGAUCAUGUGGGCGUAGACACUUUUGGACUUUUUGGCUAGGGCUGUAAAUGAGCCGAGUCGAGCCGAGCUAGACCCAGCUCAAGCUCGGCUCGAACUCGAUUCGAGCUGGCUCAGCUCGAGCUCGAAUUUCAAAUCGAGCUGAGAUUUGAGGCUCGAGCUCGGCUCGAUUAGAAUUCGAGCUAGCUCGGCUCGGCUCGAUCUAGCUCGAACUAACAAAGAACCGUAAAAUUUAUUACUUAAAAAGCCCUUAAAAAUGAUUUUUUUCAUAGCCUAAGGGCCAUAAUUGCCAUUUAAUUUAACCAAUUGGUUAAAUAGGCAAGUAUAAAUAGUUAAUUUACUUUCUCCUUUGUCUUUACCUUCUUUUAUAGGGGAGAUACUCUCUUAGUUUUUGUUUUCUAAGCGAUGUGGGACAAAAAAAUGAAUGAUGUAAAGUGUAAACCUUAUCGAGCCAGCUCACGAGCCGAGCCAGGCCAAGCUUGAGCUCGGCUCGUUUAUAAACCGAGCCGAGCCGAGCUGGCUUGUUUACAACCAAGCCAAUUUCGAGCCGAGCUUUCUUCGAGCUUUUUUCGAGCGAGUUGCGAGCCACGAGUUUUUUGAACACCCCUAUUUUUGGCUCGUUUACUGAGGUGAUACAAAUUGGAAAUCGAAUCGAAACCAUGUAUCUUUCUUCUUUUUUUUCUUUUUUUUAGUACAACGAAUUCUUCAAAUGGACUAACGACGAAAUUAUCUCAUCGGAAUACACUCGUCUUCGAACCGUGAAAAACCCUAGGGCCGAAGCGGUGAACACUUGCCCAAAGGCCCGACAUAGCGGUUAGGUAAAACCCACUUAGUUCAAGGAUCGAACUAGCGAUCUCCGCCUACACGUCUAGUCUUCCAUCAUCACCAGGUGCCGCGAAAAAUAAUCGGGAGAGCAGGAAUUGAACUUGAGUCCCUUAGAACACCAAGUCUCUCCCUCAAAAAUCGAAACCAAGUAUGUUGCUAACAAAUUUUAAGUACUUUUUUUAGUUAUUACUAGGUUAAAAAAACCCGUGUAUUACACGGGGGUUUGAUCAAUAAAUUAUUAAAUAGGUAUUAAUGAGCUGGAAAAAUAUACGUCGUAGUUUAAAAAUAAUAAUUAACUCAAUGAAAUACUCAUAAAUAGU